rnacentral:rRNA from 1 species
UUGCCCCAGUAACGGCGAGUGAAGCGGCAACAGCUCAAAUUUGAAAUCCGGCCCCCGGGGCCCGAGUUGUAAUUUGCAGAGGAUGCUUCGGGCGAGGCGCCUUCCGAGUUCCCUGGAACGGGACGCCGCAGAGGGUGAGAGCCCCGUCUGGUCGGACGCCGAGCCCGCGUGAAGCUCCUUCGACGAGUCGAGUAGUUUGGGAAUGCUGCUCAAAACGGGAGGUAUAUGUCUUCUAAAGCUAAAUACCGGCCAGAGACCGAUAGCGCACAAGUAGAGUGAUCGAAAGAUGAAAAGCACUUUGAAAAGAGGGUUAAAAAGUACGUGAAAUUGUUGAAAGGGAAGCGCCCGCGACCAGACUUGGGCCCGGCGGAUCACCCGGCGUUCUCGCCGGCGCACUCCGCCGGGCACAGGCCAGCAUCGGUCCGGCGCGGGGGACAAAGGCUCUGGGAACGUGGCUCCCCCGGGAGUGUUAUAGCCCACCGCGCAAUGCCCUGCGCCGGACCGAGGAACGCGCACCGCAAGGAUGCUGGCGUAAUGGUCGUCGGCGACCCGUCUUGAAACACGGACCAAGGAGUCGUCUUCGUAUGCGAGUGUUCGGGUGUCAAACCCCUACGCGGAAUGAAAGUGAACGCAGGUGAGAGCCUCGGCGCAUCAUCGACCGAUCCUGAUGUCCUCGGAUGGAUUUGAGUAGGAGCAUACGGGGCCGGACCCGAAAGAAGGUGAACUAUGCCUGCGUAGGGUGAAGCCAGAGGAAACUCUGGUGGAGGCUCGCAGCGGUUCUGACGUGCGAAUCGAUCGUCAAACGUGGGCAUGGGGGCGAAAGACUAAUCGAACCUUCUAGUAGCUGG